CCCAAUCUUAAUGGUAUAAGAAGUCGAAGCUUUUUGACUUUAUCUCCUUUUUAAACUUGAACCACACUAAGUUUUGCUGUUAAUCUUCAUAGGGUCAAUUCAGAGAAAAUAUUGUACCAGGAUCAGCAAGACCCGCUGAUGGCUUGGAGAAAGCAAAAACAAAGAAGAAAAAGAAGACAGUCAAUUCUUUACAAGAAGGACCUGAAAUACCUUUGACAAACCAAAUGCCUGGGUAUUUACCACAGUACAAUCCAACCCAAAUGGUUCAACUGGGAGCUCCGCCAAGUCAUGCUUACCCCUAUUUAGCACAUUACAA